rnacentral:tRNA from 1 species
GCGAUAGUAGUUUAAUGGCAGAAUAGGGGACUGUGGAUCCUCUGGCGGGAGUUCGAUUCUCCCCUAUCGCC